rnacentral:lncRNA from 13 species
CUGAACAAUUCAGGCUGUUCUGGAGGUAAAGGGGGUCUGACCCAGCACUAGAUGGGUGUACAUAAUAAAUUGAGUAUAUAUAUAAGUAGUGACACAGGCUCAUCUAAAUUGACCAAUCUAUACUGUUAUUUCUCACCCACAGGGUAAUGGUCAGUGCUCCAUAUCAGAAGAAUGGAUCUGGUGGAAUCUGUAGAUGUGCUCAAGACCGAACAAACUGUACAGACUGUUACACUCCUCAAGAAACUGACACAAUCAAGUACAUUGGACUGUCUAUGGUUGCACAAUCUACUUCUCCUCCAACGUUCACUGUAAGAUAAACCACCAAACAUUUAAUUUGAUCACGUUCUUGUUUUCAAAUACUCCAUGUGAGUGUACCGUACAUAUGUAAUAUGUUUGGCAGCAUUUACAUAGGCAGCCCGAUUCUGAAUUUUUCUUCACUAAUUGGUCUUUUGACCAAUCAGAUCAGCUCCACCAAUUAGUGGAACAAAGAUCAGAAUUGGGCUGCCUGUGUAAACCUAAAUGACUUGUUUCACUUGAGUUAUAAAACAACACCUCAGCAAUCUAAAAAUGAUCAUGGCAAAUUACAGUAACUCUCUCUUUUGAAGACAGAGGUCCACCAGACAAUCCAUUAUUUUAUCACAUUUACAAUAAGGUGACCACGUUUCUGAAAUUAAAAUCGGGGAUAUUUUCAGUUCGGCGGUCAAUAUAUCAUUAAAAUAUCCGUUAUUAUCUAUGAAAUAAAAAAAAAGGGGGACAAUUCCGGGUUUAGUGUAGUUAGUCUAACAGGCACAUUGUGACAGAGAAAACAACUGUUACAGAAACACUACAGACUAGACAGAACUGUCCAAUCUGAACAGCCAUUCAGUGGUCCUGGUAGCCUGGGUAGAAGAAGAGCAUAAGAGAACUGUAAUGCCCGGGGUGUAGUGGAGGAAGAAGUCAGACGCAGGAAACAGAAAGUUCAGAGUAGCGAUACUUCUUUAUUCACCACACAGGUGAAAACGACGCCACUCAAACAAAUGCCCCAAAACACAGGGGAACGAAACAGUCCCGAACAACACACCUACACGCAAAACCGUGACUUACAGGCGUACACAUAAAACAAUCCCGCACACCCAGCAGGCGGGCCGGGUGGCUAAUAAAGCCCAACCAAUUAACCUAACUAAUACAUAACUAAACGCAGGUGUAACUAAUAAACAGACAAGGGGGGGAUCAGUGGCAGCUAGUAGGCCGGUGACUACAACCGACCUCCGAGCGCCACCCGAACAGGAAGGGGAGUCACCUUCGAGUCGUGACAAGAACAUGAGGUAAAUUGAAAAAAACAGGCAAUAGUAUUUGUGAAAUACUUAACAACAUAAUAAAGAAAUAAGACGAUGAUGUGAUUGGUAACUACAUAAUAUACUUAUACCAACCUAAUCUGUAUAUUUCUCAGAAGAAUGUAUCUUCUUCAGGAUUGCUCUCUUUGGCCAGCUUCACCGUGAACUCCUGGCAGGGGAGGUUGCUCUUCUUACUCUCUUAACUUUUUCUUCUGCUCCAAUCUUUCUCCUCCUCUUCUUUACCCAUCUUCCUUCUCUUUCUUCCUUCUCUUUACCUUUCCACCUCACUCUUCUACACUCUCCUCGCUUCACUCGUUUUACUCCCUUCAUUUCUUCUUCUCCUUCCUCUCUAAUCUUUAAUAACAAAUAGUAACGUAAACUCACCCCAUUCCGUACAAAUGUGCGCAACCGCGACAUUCAAACAAGGCUGCAAAGAAAACUAAUGGGACUGUAGCGACUGUGUUGACUUCGAAAUCUGGGGUGUGAACUAGGUUUCUAUUCAAGUGUUGAUGGACAUGGUAACUGCAUGUCACUGCAAGCGAUCAUGACUCAAAAGCCACUGUUUACUUCUGAAGAUCACUUUAGCACCACCCUAAAAACCCGAUUCAAAUUCGACACAAACCUUCAAAUUAGGUAUG